rnacentral:rRNA from 1 species
CACGUAGGGGACGAGCGUUAUCCGGAAUUAUUGGGCGUAAAGAGCUCGUAGGCGGUUUGUCGCGUCUGCCGUGAAAGUCCGGGGCUCAACUCCGGAUCUGCGGUGGGUACGGGCAGACUAGAGUGAUGUAGGGGAGACUGGAAUUCCUGGUGUAGCGGUGAAAUGCGCAGAUAUCAGGAGGAACACCGAUGGCGAAGGCAGGUCUCUGGGCAUUAACUGACGCUGAGGAGCGAAAGCAUGGGGAGCGAACAGG